GGACAAGUAAACCCAUUUAGCAGAUGAGGAAACUGAGCAAUGAGAAGAGCCCAACUACAAGAAUGAGGAGCGCCUAACACCCACCCAGUCUAGGAUGUUAUUAAUCCCAAAAGAACUUCAUUCUAUUUGGAGCUCGUGGGGGUGGAGAGAUGGAAGCAGGAAGAACCUAAAUUGUGUCUACCACUGGAAUUCAGAUAUGUCUCGACUUGAUAAGAUCUUAAGGUGGAAGCUGAGAACAUUGACAUGAAAAAAAUAGAUCAAUGGACUCAAACAGAGUCCAGAAAUAGACCUGCACUUACAUGGACAACUGGUUUUUAUUAAAAGUGCA
rnacentral:lncRNA from 1 species